CCACAUUCUACAAACUCAGUUGACGUCAGCAGUCUUGCCACUGAGAAGUGAUCUUCAUGAAAGAAAAGAGAGGAAAAAAAAGAAUCUACAUAUCUGACAUGUGUUGGGGAUUUAAACCCAGGUCACGGGAGAGAGGGAUCCAUCCAGCUGAUGAUCCACGGGGGUUGUUGAGCAUUUAAAGCAUAGUUGUGAAGCUGGUUAUAAUGGCGCAUCCAGAUUGAGUGCUUCCUGUACAAAGGAUUGAAGUUCAGUUCCAAGAACCCGCAUCAGGCAACUCACAACACUCCAGCUCCAGAAAUCGUUACUACUCCUUUUGGCCUGCAUGUGCACCUACCCAUACAUGGCAGACACCCAUGCAACACAUACACACUCCGAUAUAAAAAUAAACUACUCUUGACCUCCUCU
rnacentral:lncRNA from 1 species